CCUGAUGUUAGCGGCGGACGGGUGAGUAACACGUGGGUAACCUGCCUGUAAGACUGGGAUAACUCCGGGAAACCGGGGCUAAUACCGGAUGGUUGUUUGAACCGCAUGGUUCAGACAUAAAAGGUGGCUUCGGCUACCACUUACAGAUGGACCCGCGGCGCAUUAGCUAGUUGGUGAGGUAAUGGCUCACCAAGGCAACGAUGCGUAGCCGACCUGAGAGGGUGAUCGGCCACACUGGGACUGAGACACGGCCCAGACUCCUACGGGAGGCAGCAGUAGGGAAUCUUCCGCAAUGGACGAAAGUCUGACGGAGCAACGCCGCGUGAGUGAUGAAGGUUUUCGGAUCGUAAAGCUCUGUUGUUAGGGAAGAACAAGUACCGUUCGAAUAGGGCGGUACCUUGACGGUACCUAACCAGAAAGCCACGGCUAACUACGUGCCAGCAGCCGCGGUAAUACGUAGGUGGCAAGCGUUGUCCGGAAUUAUUGGGCGUAAAGGGCUCGCAGGCGGUUUCUUAAGUCUGAUGUGAAAGCCCCCGGCUCAACCGGGGAGGGUCAUUGGAAACUGGGGAACUUGAGUGCAGAAGAGGAGAGUGGAAUUCCACGUGUAGCGGUGAAAUGCGUAGAGAUGUGGAGGAACACCAGUGGCGAAGGCGACUCUCUGGUCUGUAACUGACGCUGAGGAGCGAAAGCGUGGGGAGCGAACAGGAUUAGAUACCCUGGUAGUCCACGCCGUAAACGAUGAGUGCUAAGUGUUAGGGGGUUUCCGCCCCUUAGUGCUGCAGCUAACGCAUUAAGCACUCC
rnacentral:rRNA from 1 species